UUCAUCCAUUACAUUUUAUUACAUGAAAGCCGACAAUGACUUUUUUGUUAUGUUUUUUGGUAACUAGAAUGUCUAGAUCUACUAAUCUACUAGAUUUCUAGAUUUAAGAUUAUAAUGAUGAUAAGAUCUAGAGUCUAGAUCUAGAAUGUUAAUCUAGAUCUAGAAAUAGAAUUAGUAAAAUUAGUUAUUUAAAUUAGUGCGGGGCCCUUGCUGCUUGCUAAUUGCUUGACACUUGACUUGAAAGCGCGGGGCCCACUGCGACUGCAUUAAAAAUGAUAACAUAGGACAUAGUACUCAUAGGUUGCAGUGGCCUAAGUCUAAGGCUAAGACCGGCCCUGAUUUUAUACGCCUAACAGAGCUUCAUGAAUUGAUGAAAAGUGAAAAGACAUUUAUACUAGACUAGCAGCGUCCUAGGAAUGUCUGAAAUCAGCUAGAAUCUAGAGAUUGAGAGCUUUUAAAGACCACAGCCCAGUUUAAACAGCUGUAUGUCAAAAUAAUACACGGCCAAAUAAAAGUCUUUGGAAAAGAGUUAUUUGUAAGAGCUUCAAUAUUGCAAUACUAUGCAAGAUGAGGAUAUGCUUUCUAAUAUGCUUGUAACAAUUACUGAUAAUUACCCAUGACUUUUUUUGUCAAAUUAAACACAUAGUCUGCCAGUGGUAAGUUUUAAUUAUUUUUUCAUUCUGUGUCUGUCUUUGGUGGUAGCAUUUAUGUAACGGCCCCUUGAGGAACGGCACCUGGAUUGUGACAAGGUUCUGGGAGCUUUUUUACAACUCCACACAGUGCAAUGAGGAUGCUCUCGCACCCCCUUAGGCACCCCCACGGGAGUCUUGUUUUGCUACCCUUUAGCCUAAUCGUUACCUCCUACGAUCAUUUCCACCCGGGCGCCACUAUGAGGCAGGGUAGCAUGCCCGGGAAACAUUGCACCAUAAAAAAUAACUCUGAAACAAGGCACCAUUUAUUCCAAAUUGGCUAUUUAAGUUUGUGGAAUGUUUGCAUAUGCUGCCCAGCCAACUGAUAUGUUUGCAUGUGCUGCCCAACCAACUGAUAUUAUAUAUGCUCCAUGAUGCAUUAUUCUAACAUGGCUGCUUGGUGGUUUGGAAUCUCAACAAGAAAACAAGUGCCUGGGCCCACUUUCUCUUUCUACUAUUCUGAAAAACCCUAUGUUCUCUCGCUAUAGACCAUGACACGAUUAUAUUUUGUAUGAAAAAUAUUUCCAUUCAUCUAUCUCAACCACAAUGGGUUCAAAAUUUUAUUUUCAGCGAUGCCACCAAUUUGCAAAGCAUUAGUUUCAUUCCAUUGUGCACAUUCCUUGCACAAGAUAUUGCACCAAUCUGAUUUAUCCACUCUUAACAUUUGAUGCUGUAGCAUGUCACUAAGCCUAACAAUUAGUCAUGAUAAUUGUUUUAUGCUUAAGUGGCUGCUUUAUAGAUUACAUAGUAAUAUGUUACUUCAAAAAAAGAUAAUUAUGUAAUAAGCAUUUCAUGUGUCAAUAUAGAUAUAUAUUCAUGUUAAUCAGUGACUUGAACUCUGCUUAUAGUGUUAGAAUGUCCAUAUUUGCAUGUGUACUGUGUGCCACGUUCAAAUGCUUAACCCUCUGCAUCCUGCUAAGCAUUGUGAUGCUUGUAAACAACUACAUAUCGAGAAAAGUAUUUGCCUGGAAAAAGGUAAAGAGAUUCAGACCAACAUCUACAUCACAAUACAGGAGCAUUGUAACCACUGCAUUAGUUGCAACUGUCUUGAACUGUGGCAAGAGUACAAGGCUACUGGAAAUAAUGAAGCCUGUUCAGUGUGCCCAACACCUUCUGGGUACCUGGUAAACUAUGAAUAGUUAACAUGCCCGAAAUCCAAGUAAUUAUUGAUAGCCGAAGUAGAGAUACUUGAGGAUUGUGAAGUGGAAUCAAGUAAAGACAUGCUCUACCGUACAGCCCACGCCAUAUGUCAAGAUAAAAUUAUCAAGAAGCCAUUGAAUGAGGAAAAAAACUCAUUCAUUGACAUAUCAGACUGUUAUGAUGUUAUGAUGGGAAUAGGCAUCUCUUUGCAUUAUAGGUGUGUGCAUAGAUUUUCUAACAGGUCUUGUCAACAACUUCCAACAACUUAGCUGAGAGCAUGAAUGCAAUUGACCUUGCGGUCUGGAAACAACAGCAUGAUUGCUGUAGUAAUCAUCAUUAUUCCAGCAAAUCUGUGGAACAGAACAGUGACGUAAUUUUGUGGAAUCGUUCUGUGGCGAAAUACAAUUUCAGAUAUGUCGAUGCUGAGUGAUGAAACUUUUAAAGCUGUGGUUGAGUUUAACUUGACUGCAUCAAUCAUGCCCAUAAAUGUAUUGGGACAGCCCUUUGAAAACUUGCCAAAGAAAGCCAUCUCAUGGCAAAGUUGUUGGCAGGUUAACAGAAACAAAAAAUGUGACAGUCUACAAAAUUUUUAUCUUGGUGCUAUAGUGGACAAUGUUUCAGAUGUUUCCAAAAUGAGGAAUGCUGUUUGGGCGGGAGUAUACCACUCCAUAUCCAGAUACUGAACACCAUCAUUGACAGUGUCCUCCGAAAAAAUGGUUAGUGCUGGCACGAACAGGCCAUUCACCCGUUUUCACAGUAUUUUAUAUUUGAUAUGAAUAAGUUGGCUGAAAGGGUAAAGAUAUUUUCACAUUCUACUUUUCUGUUGGUGGCAAAAUAAAAAAAAAUGUGAAGGGAACAUUUGUCUUGUUUACCAUCGAUCUAAAUUCAAUCUACUAGAUCAGUAAUACACAAACUAAGGCCUGCAGGUCCUAUCCAGCUAGCAUUUUAUAAUAUACUAUUAAGCUAUUUUUUAAAAUCUGUAAUAGCUGUUAUGCCCUAAUAUAAAUUACAUAUUUCUGCUAUCAGAUUUCCAAUUUUUUUUUAGAACUCCUAAAAUCUUCUAAAAUCUUGCCUAUUCUCCUAAAAAUUUUACCCAAUAUUUAAAAAAAAUAAAAUAAUUUUGCUUAUUUCUCGCUAAAAAUGUGAAAAAGAAGUAGAGUGUCUAGGCAUUCUUAUUGCAUGAUUGGCUGGCUGUGUUAAUGAGUUCACCAGUUACUUUCACCCAUGUGUUUAAGCGUGACCUCAUGAUUGAAGAAGUCUUUAGCUCAAGCCGGCAUUUCAUCUGACAUUAUAUUAUUUUAGCUAGUAUCAAGAUCUAAGUUAGAUCUUAUCUUCUUAUCUUAGAAAGUACAGAUGUUACUUUAAAAAAGAUGAAUAUGUCCUACGUGUUUCCCUGGGUCAAUCUAGUCAUGCAUGUUAAUCAAUAACUUAAAUUUUGUCAAAUAUAAUAAUCUUUAUUAUCCAUAAGGAAGAAGGAGCAUUUUUACAAAAUUGUCUUAGCAUAUGGUGUGUCUUUCUGGGUAUUUUAUUAGGUUUUGUUUUUGUAUUUGAAGAUUAUGUUUCAUUGUAUUAUGUAUAAUUGCUACUUUACUUUUAAAACUGAAUUAAAAGAUUUUUCUAAAGGUAUUACUCUAAUCAAAUGUGAAUAUUCAUUUGUUAUGAAUGUCACUGCUCUAUUUGUGUCUGUUCCAGUUUCUUGUUUUCUUGAGUUGAGAGGUCCCAAACGGAGGAUGCAUAUUCUAUUAUUGGCCUAACCAAGGUUAAAUAACAUUUUAGUUUUACAUUGUUAUUUUAAAUAUAAAUUUCUUUUAAUAAAUCCUAAUUCUUUGUUUGAUUUUUUAAUAAUUUCAUCAAUAAGGAGAUUCCAUGAUAGUUUUUCAUUUAUUAUAACAUCUAGUUAUUUUGAGUUUUUAGUCUGUUUUACUGGUUUACCAUGAAUAAGAUAAGUGGAAUUAAUUUUUUUUAGUUUUUUUGUUAUUCUUAAUAACUGACAUUUUUCUGGGUGGAAAGACAUGCUCCAAUUUGAUUCCCAUUUCUUCAUCUAAUUCUCUUUGUAAAAUUUCUGUAUCUUGUGUUGUUUUUAUUGUUCUAUAUAUUAUGCAAUUAUCUGCAAAUAAUCUGAACUAAUGCAAUUUUGUAAAUUAUUUCUGUAAAUUAGAAAUAUUUAGUGGACCUAUGACCGUUCCUUGGGGGUACACCUGAGUUUAAUGUUGAUUUAUUAUUACAGUUUGUUAUCUCCCUAUCUGAAAAUCCUUAAUCCAUUUAUGCAAUAAACAAGCAAUGCCAAAAUAUGUUAAUUUUUUAAGCAAGCUAUGAUGGUGAACUUUGUCAAAUGCUUAGAAAAAUCUAAGAUUGCACAUUAUCUAAUCUUUUUAAAAAUUCAUCAAUUAGUCCUAUUAGUUGUGUUUCAAAUGAUAUAUUUCCUAAAGCCAUGUUGGCUUUAAGUAAGGACAUCAUGUUUGUCUUGGUGGUUUAGGAUGUUGCUACAUAUUAUGUGUUCUAUAAUUUUACAUGUGAUGCUGGUGAGUAAUACAGGAUGAAAUUUCCUGGAUCAGAUUUUUCUCCUUUUUUAAAUAUGUUAUUGAUGUUAGCUUCUUUCCAGUUCCUCAGUACUCUUCACUGAUGAAGAGAUGCCUGAAAAAGUAUUUUGAACACUAGUGCUAGCAAAUACAAAAACAAAAUUUAAUAAAAUACUCUGAAAGACACAAAGAUAAAGGCACAUUCCUCGUCCCAUAUGCUAGGACAAAUUUGUACAAAUACUCCUUCUUCCCUAGUGCUAUUAGAGCAUGGAAUGGGUUGCCUGAGCUAGCCAGGAAAACCAGUGACUUGGCAGAAUUUAAGUCAUUGGUUAAUAUGCAUGACUAAAUGCAUGACGCGUAGGACGUAAUCAUCUUCUUUUUUGAAGUAACGUCUGUAUUAUGUAAGAUAAGAUAAGAUAAUAGCUUAGUUGUUUGAGUAAUCUAGCUUGUAUACCAUCAGGUCCAAUGCUUUAUUUGCUAAUAGUUUUGGAUCCCUUUUUCUAGUGAAGAUAAUUUGCACAUAACCUGAAAGCUACCUGAAUUUGAGUAAAUUUAAUGUAGGAUUUUUUUAUUUUGCGAUAGUUAUUAUACUUACCUCUAAAUUAUAUAUGUUUAGUUAUUUCCUGACAAAAUUGUUUUAUAAUUGAAAUUUUAUUUAGUUUUUUUUUUCAUAUUCUCUUAUAUUGUUUGUUUUUGUAAUAUAUGUCUGCCAAAUGUUAAGACUUUAAAACUAUUUGUGCUACAGAGUUCAUAUUUGGUAUACUCAUUCUGAACAUAGAUAUCUACAAAGAAACUUUUUAUAUUUGAUAUUUUUUUUUGUUUUUUAGCAUUUCAAAGUUUAGAAUUUUAAAAUGUAUAUGUAUUUUUUAAGGUCACAACACUAAAACAAAACAUAAAUAAAAAGCAAUAAAAGAGAACUAAAUUUCC